rnacentral:rRNA from 1 species
GGCUUUUUGAAUAUAAUUUAAGGUCGGGCCUGCCCAAUGAUUAAUUAAAUGGCCGCGGUAUAUUGACCGUGCAAAGGUAGCAUAAUCAUUAGUUUUUUAAUUGAAAGCUUGUAUGAAGGGUUUAAUGAAAAAAAUACUGUCUCUAUUUAAAUUUGUUAGAAUUUUAUAUUUAAGUUAAAAAGCUUAAAUUUAUAUUGAAGACGAGAAGACCCUAUAGAGUUUAAUAUUUUAUAUAGUUAUUAGUUAUUAAGAAUUUUAAAGGUUAAUUUUAUAAAGUAUUUAGUUGGGGUGAUUAAAAAAUUGGUUUAACUUUUUUUGUAUUUUUACAUUGAUUAAUGAAUUAAUGAUCAUUUAUUUAAGAUUAAAAGAUAUAAUUACCUUAGGGAUAACAGCGUAAUUUUUUUUAGAGCUCUUAUCGAAAAAAAAGAUUGCGACCUCGAUGUUGGAUUAAAAUAAAUUAUUGGUGUAGAAGCUAAUAGAUUAGGUCUGUUCGACCUUUAAAUUUUUACAUGAUCUGAGUUUAAACCGGUGUAAG